UGGGACCCACGCGAAUGCGCGCUGUUUCGGCAUUUCCUUCAACCUCAAAACACGUCGCGCAGAACGACACCGUUUUGGCACGACGUAAUCCAUAUCCAUCAACCUACCUGAAUCUCUUCAGCGAAGGGUCUUUGAAGUUCGAAGGAAAUGAACGUAAAGCGCACCGGAUCAAUGUCGUUUCGAGACUAUUUCCGAGGACACAGAUCUCUUGAAACUUUUCAAUUUCUUCAGGUUCUGAAUCAACUUGAUAGAUCGAGCAUGGUAAUUUUAGCGGCUGCUACGAGUUUGAAGCCUCCACCGUUUGUAUCUUUCGAUCGAUCAGAUUUCUAGUGAUUCCAAUCCAUCAUAUCUGUUUGAUAACUUCUUCCUGUAACAAAGGCGAGGUAGUCGAUCGAUUACUAAUUUGCUCUCUUGCUUUAUCAUGGAUGCUGGACCAAACUAUUUAGGUAAUGUUUUUCUUUGAGAAUUCUUAGGCGCUUUUGGAGCAAACGAAAUUUGAUCAGUGCGUCGACAUAAUUAAGGAGUAGACAUUCUAGGCAGAUAAUAGUAAAACCUCAGUUAAGAGAGUUACGUCGAAAUUAGGGAUGUUGUCGUUGUGGUGUGGGAGGAUUCAUUGCUUUAUGCAGGAGUAGGACCGAUUCUUGUGUUUCAGUGGCCAUAGUUUUCUUUCAUUAUCAUGUUAUUUCAUAAAUAGGAUGAAACGAUUAGAAAAGUAUAUACCUUUGGAAGUAUUUAUAUCUUGUUGUAUAGAUCGAUGAAGGAUCUUAAUUGCAGUAUAAACAAUGGUAUGGGGGUUAGUUUUUUAUUUUAUGACAACAUCGUUCCGGAAAUUGAUGGAAUCUAAUGAUUCCUGGUGGUUUACAAGGGUCUUCCUCUGGUUAGCAGAUUUGCUAAUUUGAAGUCAUUGUGUCCAUGUUACUGCAAGUUGAUAUAUAUUUGUAUUUGAAUUGUAAUUAUGUAAAUUUUCAUUCCCAUGUCAUGUUUCUUUUAAUUUGCAUCUGAUGGGUUGAGCCACAUAAACUUUGACCACAGGCCGUAGCUGAUCAGGUCCUGAAUUAUUGGAUGCGUUUAGGAAUACCCUCCCACCUUUCAUUUUUUUUUUUUUGCUGAAAAAAGGCAAUUAGUCUACUAUUUAUUUUAUUUAUGAUUUCAUUGUUACGUUACAGGAACUGCAUUGAAGACAUCGAUAGUAUCUGUUAAGGAGAAAGUCUAAAGAAAUUCAUAACCGAUUAAUUUAUAAUAUUUUACUUGUAUUUUACAGUUGCAUGCAGACUGAAGAAUUGAUAAAAUGAGGGGCUCCCUGUAUUCAAAAUCGUCAUUGAGUACAAAACUCGUACAUGUGGCAACAGUCAGGAAGAGUAAGAAAUGAAUGACAGAAAAUGCAUCAGUAAGAAGAAAAUCGUAUUGGUCAUUUGCUGCUGUUGGAUCCUACCAGUGCAUGCAUAAGCUGUCCACCCAUUCAUCUCUCCAAUAUUAUAGUUUCAC